GCUUCUUUAGCACAGUUGGUAGUUGCGCAGGUCUCAUAAUCCUGAGGUCGUGAGUUCAAUCCUCACAAGGAGCA
rnacentral:tRNA from 1 species